rnacentral:rRNA from 1 species
UAGGGAAUCUUCGGCAAUGGACGGAAGUCUGACCGAGCAACGCCGCGUGAGUGAAGAGGGUUUUCGGAUCGUAAAGCUCUGUUGUAAGAGAAGAACGAGUGUGAGAGUGGAAAGUUCACACUGUGACGGUAUCUUACCAGAAAGGGACGGCUAACUACGUGCCAGCAGCCGCGGUAAUACGUAGGUCCCGAGCGUUGUCCGGAUUUAUUGGGCGUAAAGCGAGCGCAGGCGGUUAGAUAAGUCUGAAGUUAAAGGCUGUGGCUUAACCAUAGUACGCUUUGGAAACUGUUUAACUUGAGUGCAAGAGGGGAGAGUGGAAUUCCAUGUGUAGCGGUGAAAUGCGUAGAUAUAUGGAGGAACACCGGUGGCGAAAGCGGCUCUCUGGCUUGUAACUGACGCUGAGGCUUGAAAGCGUGGGGAGCAAACAGGAUUAGAUACCCUGGUAGUCCACGCUGUAAACGAUGCUGACUCGUUUUUGGUUUGUAAGAAUCAGAGGCUAAGCGAAAGUGAUAAGUCAGCCACCUGGGGAGUACGACCGCAAGGUUG